rnacentral:tRNA from 1 species
GGUAGAGUGGCUGAGUAUAGCAUUAGACUGUAAAUCUAAUCACAGAGGUUUGAGUCCUCUUUUUACCA